AUUGUACGCUGGCGGCAGGCCUAACACAUGCAAGUCGAGCGGAUGAAGGGAGCUUGUUCCUGGAUUCAGCGGCGGACGGGUGAGUAAUGCCUAGGAAUCUGCCUGGUAGUGGGGGAUAACGUCCGGAAACGGGCGCUAAUACCGCAUACGUCCUGAGGGAGAAAGUGGGGGAUCUUCGGACCUCACGCUAUCAGAUGAGCCUAGGUCGGAUUAGCUAGUUGGUGGGGUAAAGGCCUACCAAGGCGACGAUCCGUAACUGGUCUGAGAGGAUGAUCAGUCACACUGGAAGUGAGACACGGUCCAGGCGCCUACGGGAGGGCGCAGUGGGGAAUAUUGGACAAUGGGCGAAAGCCUGGUCCAGCCAUGCCGCGUGUGUGAAGAAGGUCUUCGGAUUGUAAAGAACUUUAAGUUGGGAGGAAGGGCAGUAAGUUAAUACCUUGCUGUUUUGACGUUACCAACAGAAUAAGCACCGGCUAACUUCGUG
rnacentral:rRNA from 1 species